ensembl:lincRNA
UUCCAAUCACUCCUACAACAUAGAGAAAGCUCAAGGCAGAGGAAGACCUUCCCUGGAAGAGGAAAACAGAGCUUGCAGUGUGCUUAACUUGCCAAGCCCCAUGCCAGUACGAAAGGAUACAAAGCACAAAAUGAAAAGGAUACAAAGCACAAACUUCGUGGGACUGCGAAUAGGAAAACAAAGAAGGAAAUGAAUGUCAAAACUGUCCAUUAAAGAUAAAAGGAAGGCCAACAACAGAAGAGUGGUUGCCCUGUUCUUGAGAGGACUACAUGACAACAGUGUGAAAGAACGCCAGCCCACAGACUUUCAUGAAAUCUUUAGGACCUCUAACACACUGAAGAACAGGAAAUCUGAGUGGGAUUCUGCAGAACACCCCUCCUUUCCCAGCAUGACUUCUCAAUUUCUUCUGCCUUGAGACUUUUCAUCAGGCCUGUCCAAAUAAGAUCUCACCUUCAUCAAUGACAGUGGAGUCAGUGACAACUUCAGAUGGCCCAGAACUCUUCCUGCAGGUGGAGACUCCUGAGUUCCAACACUGUUCUCAGACCUCCUAAGACUGUGCCUGCAAAGGUGCUCAUCAGCCAGUGCUGCCCUAGAAGCCAGCUGUUGUCAAUGUAAGCAUCAAAGAGACAUGGAAAUUCCUUCCCAGUUGUGAGUAAACAGGAUGAUAGAUUCCAGUUUUGAACAAAACCUAAAAGUUUUGAGGGAAUUUGCUAUGGGAAUAAAAAAAUAAUUAGACUUCUGUCUAAUGGGAAUAGACAAGUCUUCAGAAUUACAGUAACUUUUAAUCUAGAAAGGUUUGACUCCACUUCUUGCUAUUUGCCUGCUGACAAAUUUCAGACCUUACCUCUCCCUCUUCCUCUUAUGCAAACCACAGUGAGCUGAUCAGAAAGCCCGGCUGCACUCUACCUUUGCACUGUAUGGACUCAAACCAUGCAAGCUGUGGCCCAUGCCUGGAAAUCUCACUCAGGGUCCACCACAAAUAUUUAAAGCCCAACCAGUCUCCUUUCUUGACUCUCUCAAGCCAUUUAGGACCAGCUUGAGAGGACUCUGCUCUCCCUAGAGAUCUCAAUUUUGGAAGUAAUAAAAGUUUUUGCACCAUUUUCCUGUAUGUGUAGUGUCAUCAGUCAUCACACAUCAACUAAAUCUGAAGUGUGCUUUCCUCUCACACUUAGGAGGAACUAUACCACAAAGGAAGUCUGCUUCUAUUUCACCUUGCAGUUAAUGAAAGAACUAUACAAGUUGUUGACAUUCUACUAUUAUCCCAUUUUCCUAGCAGGUAAAGUAAGGGACCCAAUAGAAAGUUAAAAUUGCCUAGCAGGGGGCAGAGGGAGGAGACAGAAUCCAAAGUUUAAAGAGAUUGGAACUAAUCAUGUUAAAGAUCAUUUCUCUGCAUGCACAUUUUAAAUCCAGUUUUCCUUUCUGUUCUUGCCAGUUCCUCAAGUGCCUUCAACUCCUGUUCACUAUCAGGUCAUACUGUGGGCAGAGUGGCCACAAACCAAAGCCUAAAAUGUUUUUCAGUGGGAAAAAUGAAGUCAGUUUGCCUUGAUACAUGGAUUUGCUUCCAUGUGUAGUUGUGGCUGUAGUUAGAUGCAAAACUUCACCACUGGGUCUGUAACUCACAUACAAAACAACAUCUUCCCGGAGGAGAUCCCUCCUCUAACUGUACCGGCUCUAACUUCAUCAGGAUGCCUGUGAUUAACGUGACUGGACUUUGCUCAAACCUUUCUUCUCCAUGCUCAGUGGCCUUACAUAACCCACGUUUUAGUACCAGUUGGGUCUAAUAAGGUUGAUACUGAACUGAAUAUAUCAAAUGCUACAUUUUCUCAACUAACAGGAUAAACAACUGCACUCAUAAUUCUAUUCACUAAAAACAUCUUCGUGUAACUUCAUUUCAUGUCCAAGUAGCUGGAAAAUCUAUCUUUAAAGAAAAUUGUCAUGUAAAGAAAUUAUGGGCAUCAUACCAGCACAUUUUUUGCUCUUCUUUCAUCAAUUUUGCAAAUAAAUGGAAGAAAAGUAUCAUACCGCAUAAAGAAAUUAACUAACUUGGGUAAGUGAGUGUAUUAGGAUAAAUAUAUAAAAUGGAAGAGAAAAG